rnacentral:rRNA from 1 species
UGGGGAAUCUUGCACAAUGGGGGCAACCCUGAUGCAGCGACGCCGCGUGAGCGAUGAAGCCCUUCGGGGCGUAAAGCUCUUUCGACCGGAACGAUAAUGACGGUACCGGGAGAAGAAGCUGCGGCUAACUACGUGCCAGCAGCCGCGGUAAUACGUAGGCAGCAAGCGUUGUUCGGAGUUACUGGGCGUAAAGAGUGCGUAGGCGGUUUUCUAAGUUCGGUGUGAAAUCUCCCGGCUUAACUGGGAGGGUGCGCCGAAGACUGGGAAGCUGGAGUGUGGGAAAGGCAGGCGGAAUUCCUGGUGUGGCGGUAAAAUGCGUAGAUAUCAGGAGGAACACCGGCGGUGUAGACGGCUUGCUAGACCAUAACUGACGCUGAGGCACGAAAGCGUGGGUAGCAAACA